UUAAAACAAUAUUUCUUCUGUUUUUUUAUUUUUUAUUUUAUUUUAACAAUUCUUUUGUUCUUGAAGGGUUCUUGGAAAGACCAGGUUAUACACAACUGCAGAUUGAUCAUGAGGACCAUGCUGCCGAGUUUCUGAAUUUAUACACAAUUGCAGAUUCUGCCCACAAAAGGCUCCAUCCAAAGAGUUGAUAACACAAGCAAUAAGACAUCAACACUGCUCAAAAGAAUUUGAUACUUAGAAUUCAAGAUUGAUUAUAGGAAUUUUGUAAAGUAGAGAUAGGAUAUAUUUGAUACUGAAUUCAACACCGCUUGUUCUAUUGUAAAAUAUUUUUAAAUAUAAUGAAUUGAGUAUCUUUGUUUCACUA